rnacentral:rRNA from 1 species
GAAUUCGCCCUUAGAGUUUGAUCCUGGCUCAGGACGAACGCUGGCGGCGUGCCUAACACAUGCAAGUCGAGCGGGGAUCGGGAGCUUGCUUCCGAUUCUAGCGGCGGACGGGUGAGUAACGCGUGAGCAACCUGCCUCGAACUGGGGGAUAACGCAUCGAAAGAUGUGCUAAUACCGCGUAAGACCACGUGACCACAUGGUCAAGGGGUCAAAGGAGGAAUCCGGUUUGAGAUGGGCUCGCGUCCGAUUAGCUAGUUGGUGAGAUAAAAGCCCACCAAGGCGACGAUCGGUAGCCGACCUGAGAGGGUGAUCGGCCACAUUGGAACUGAGAUACGGUCCAGACUCCUACGGGAGGCAGCAGUGGGGAAUAUUGGGCAAUGGGCGAAAGCCUGACCCAGCAACGCCGCGUGAGGGAAGAAGGGUUUCGGCUCGUAAACCUCUGUCCUAUGGGACGAAGAAGAUGACGGUACCAUAGGAGGAAGCCCCGGCUAACUACGUGCCAGCAGCCGCGGUAAUACGUAGGGGGCGAGCGUUGUCCGGAAUGAUUGGGCGUAAAGGGCGCGUAGGCGGCCUGUUAAGUCUGGAGUGAAAGUCCUGCUUUCAAGGUGGGAAUUGCUUUGGAUACUGACGGGGCGGUGAGUGCAGGAGAGGAAAGCGGAAUUUCCGGGUGUAGCGGGGAAAAUGGGUAGAGAUCGGUAGGAACCCCCAGUGCGGAAGGCGGCUUUCUGGACUGAAACUGACGCUGAGGCGCGAAAGCGUGGGGAGCAAACAGGAUUAGAUACCCUGGUAGUCCACGCGGUAAACGAUGAGUGCUAGGUGUAGGAGGUAUCGACCCCUUCUGUGCCGCAGUAAACACAAUAAGCAUUCCACCUGGGGAGUACGGCCGCAAGGUUGAAACUCAAAGGAAUUGACGGGAGCCCGCACAAGCAGUGGAGUAUGUGGUUUAAUUCGACGCAACGCGAAGAACCUUACCAGAGCUUGACAUCCCUCUGAUCGGUCGAGUAAUGUUGACCUUUCCUUCGGGACAGAGGAGACAGGUGGUGCAUGGUUGUCGUCAGCUCGUGUCGUGAGAUGUUGGGUUAAGUCCCGCAACGAGCGCAACCCUUAUGUUUAGUUGCUACGCAAGAGCACUCUAGACAGACUGCCGUUGAUAAAACGGAGGAAGGUGGGGACGACGUCAAAUCAUCAUGCCCCUUACGCCCUGGGCUACACACGUACUACAAUGGCGAAAACAAAGGGAAGCGAUCACGCGAGUGGGAGCAAAACUCAUAAAAGUCGCCCCAGUUCGGACUGCAGGCUGCAACUCGCCUGCACGAAGUUGGAAUUGCUAGUAAUCGUGGAUCAGCAUGCCACGGUGAAUACGUUCCCGGGCUUUGCACUCAC